rnacentral:rRNA from 1 species
GGCUCAGGAUGAACGCUGGCGGCGUGCUUAACACAUGCAAGUCGAACGAUGAAGCCGGGAGCUUGCUCCUGGUGGAUUAGUGGCGAACGGGUGAGUAACACGUGAGUAACCUGCCCCAGACUCUGGGAUAAGCACUGGAAACGGUGUCUAAUACCGGAUACGAGCUUCAGCCGCAUGGCUAGGAGCUGGAAAGAAUUUCGGUCUGGGAUGGACUCGCGGCCUAUCAGGUAGUUGGUGAGGUAACGGCUCACCAAGCCGACGACGGGUAGCCGGCCUGAGAGGGUGACCGGCCACACUGGGACUGAGACACGGCCCAGACUCCUACGGGAGGCAGCAGUGGGGAAUAUUGCACAAUGGGCGCAAGCCUGAUGCAGCAACGCCGCGUGAGGGACGACGGCCUUCGGGUUGUAAACCUCUUUUAGUAGGGAAGAAGCGAAAGUGACGGUACCUGCAGAAAAAGCACCGGCUAACUACGUGCCAGCAGCCGCGGUAAUACGUAGGGUGCAAGCGUUAUCCGGAAUUAUUGGGCGUAAAGAGCUCGUAGGCGGUUUGUCGCGUCUGCUGUGAAAACUGGGGGCUCAACCCCCAGCCUGCAGUGGGUACGGGCAGACUAGAGUGCGGUAGGGGAGAUUGGAAUUCCUGGUGUAGCGGUGGAAUGCGCAGAUAUCAGGAGGAACACCGAUGGCGAAGGCAGAUCUCUGGGCCGUAACUGACGCUGAGGAGCGAAAGCAUGGGGAGCGAACAGGAUUAGAUACCCUGGUAGUCCAUGCCGUAAACGUUGGGAACUAGAUGUAGGGUCCAUUCCACGGAUUCUGUGUCGCAGCUAACGCAUUAA